CCCUUAGAUGUUCUGGGCCGCACGCGUGCUACACUGAGUGGAUCAGCGGGUCAGGUUACGCGAGAGCGUUUCCUAAUCUUCAAAUCCGCUCGUGAUGGGGAUUGACGGUUGCAAUUUUCCGUCAUGAACGAGGAAUACCUUGUAAGCGCGGGUCAUCAUCCCGCGCUGAAUACGUCCCUGCCCUUUGUACACACCGCCCGUCGCUCCUACCGAUUGAGUGGUCCGGUGAGGCUUUGGGAUCUAAGCGAAAAGAGCGUUUCGCUCCUUUUGCUGGGAGAACUCAGUCGAACCUUAUCAUCUAGAGGAAGGAGAAGUCGUAACA
rnacentral:rRNA from 1 species